rnacentral:rRNA from 1 species
GUCUAUGACCAUACCACUGUGAACACGCCCGAUGUUGUCAGAUCUCAGAAGCUGAGCAGGGUUGGGACUUGGUUGUCAUCU